rnacentral:lncRNA from 1 species
CGCCUACAGGGCAGCGCCAGCCGGCGGGCGGCUCUGAAUCUGGACCUGGGCCUGGGCCUGGGCCUGGGCCUCAGCGCGGGCGGAGGCGAAGGCCUGUUUGAGGGAGUGGUCGCCAGGGAAAUUGGCAUCUGGUUGCAAAAAAGUACCCAAGGAGCGCGGGAGAGCUCGGCGUAGAGUGGGCGUCCACCCCGAAUCACGAGCCCCAGAGGUGUUUACACUCGAGAGACGCACAGGACAGUCAAGGAAUCACAUAUUGAAGAGCCUUGCCAGGCGUUGCAAGUGUGAGUGGAUUUUGU